rnacentral:rRNA from 1 species
GAUGAACGCUGGCGGCGUGCCUAAUACAUGCAAGUCGAGCGAACGGACGAGAAGCUUGCUUCUCUGAUGUUAGCGGCGGACGGGUGAGUAACACGUGGAUAACCUACCUAUAAGACUGGGAUAACUUCGGGAAACCGGAGCUAAUACCGGAUGAUAUUUUGAACCGCAUGGUUCAAAAGUGAAAGACGGUCUUGCUGUCACUUAUAGAUGGAUCCGCGCUGCAUUAGCUAGUUGGUAAGGUAACGGCUUACCAAGGCAACGAUGCAUAGCCGACCUGAGAGGGUGAUCGGCCACACUGGAACUGAGACACGGUCCAGACUCCUACGGGAGGCAGCAGUAGGGAAUCUUCCGCAAUGGGCGAAAGCCUGACGGAGCAACGCCGCGUGAGUGAUGAAGGUCUUCGGAUCGUAAAACUCUGUUAUUAGGGAAGAACAUAUGUGUAAGUAACUGUGCACAUCUUGACGGUACCUAAUCAGAACGCCACGGCUAACUACGUG